rnacentral:sRNA from 1 species
UUACCCCAUGAUGCUCAGGUCCGCCGCAUCUCCUGGGUCGUGGGGUCGGCCGGCUGUUUGGCGAAUAUACGGUUCCUCGUGCCGUCCGCCGGCAGCCGGCCCCCAU